UACGUAGGGAGCAAGCGUUGUCCGGAAUCAUUGGGCGUAAAGCGCGCGUAGGCGGCCCUGUAAGUCCGUUGUGAAAGUCAAAGGCUCAACCUUUGAAAGCCGAUGGAUACUGCAGGGCUAGAGUCCGGAAGAGGAGAGUGGAAUUCCUGGUGUAGCGGUGAAAUGCGCAGAUAUCAGGAAGAACACCCGUGGCGAAGGCGGCUCUCUGGGACGGUACUGACGCUGAGACGCGAAAAGCGUGGGGAGCAAACAGG
rnacentral:rRNA from 1 species